rnacentral:snoRNA from 1 species
UUGGCCCUGAAUCAAGGCUGGCAGUUUGCUGAAGCUGUUGGUUUGAAACAGGAGCCUAAAGAACCAUCUUUCUAUGGUCUGUUGGCCAUUUCAGAACUUUGGAAAUGUAAUGUCAAUGCAUUAGAAAGAAACAUCU